AAUCAGAAUACACCAGACACAUGGAUGAAAUUGCCAAAGAACAAAAUUAAUUAAAACAAAUUACGUCUUCCAUAAACCUGCUUAAUGCCCUUAGAAAAGCAAAAGCUCUUUGCCACUGAAGGACAAGCAGGGCUCUUAAAGCAGGUGAUACAGGUUGCACACAUCUGCUGAAUUCAGGACAAGAAGAACUAACUGAGGUCUACCUAGACAUCCUCACCCUUGGUCUGCAGAAAUCUCUGGAGAGCCCAGAGCCCGACAGCAGCCGAGCAGACACUGAGGCAGGGCAGUCCUCUCCAUACACUGCGGCCCCACAAUGCACCUCAUAUAAAACUGCAGACGUCAUAUUUACAACUGAUGGGGCAGGAAGAGGCUCAGCAGGGGAAGGCUCAAGCCGUGCAGCCUGGAGAUCUGCUAAGACCCCGGACCGCAUGGUGGGAGGGCAAAACAGACUCUGAGCAUUGUCCUCUGACCUACACAGCACAAAUCUCACACACACACACACACACACACACACAUACACGAAAAUAGAAUUAUUGGCAUCUUACAUAUAUGUUAAGGAGAAAAUUUUGUUCUUAAAUACCACUGGCUUAAAGUAAAAAGUUUAUGAUAAAAAAACUGUCCUUCAUUCAAAACCACGGUCCGAAAAUCAACAAUUAUAUUUGAUGAAACACCAUCUUCUACUUUCCACCAGCUAACCUAGACACUAGACUAUAUUACCAAUAAUGAUAAUAACAACAUUUUAAGUUACAUAUUUAAGAUUUACUCUAUUAACUCACACAAAUAACAAGUAAUUUCCAAUUCAAACAAAGCAAAACAAGAUAAUCAUUUGUUACACAAUAAUAUACCAGGCAAUAAUAUUUGUUUUACAAAGUUUUAAUAGGUUUGGUUGGCUUUCCUAUUGCUUUCAUUAAGAAUAAAAACUUAAACCAUACACCUGUAAUCCCAGGGUAAGUAAGGCCCGAGGGUUCAGCAUCACCCUAAGCUGCACAGUGAGGUCUUGUCUCAAAAAGUAAGGCAAACAAACAAAUAAUAAAAAAUAUAAUAAAAAGACUGGCAACUGCUCUAAAUUGCUAAAUAAGUACUUUUAUAACUAGGUUAUAUAGGUAUAUUUUAAUGACUGAAGACUACAUGUGAGAAGGAUAUUCCUGACUGACUAGUGCACUUGAUCUGGAAGUUAGGAAAUGAGGUUUGGAUACCUGCUGAGGUGGCUCCCACUAGCACACUGUAGGACGCGUCCUCUCUCCGGUGUGAGAUACGACAAGGUUCCCUCUGAGCGACUUCCAACACUAGCUGGAAUCUCAAGAAAGAAUGUCUUCUUUAUAGUUGAAUCCUAAACGCCUACAAACUUUGGAGAACUAAGCAGUGCCCGGAAAGGCAUAGUACUCUCAUGGAACAUGACAGACUACUGCUUUUCACUUCUCCGUCCCUUCACCGACCUUUCUGAGGAAUUAAAAGAAAAAAAAAUGGUUUCUAUAUUUAGAAGUAAAACUUAAAACCAGCAUGAAAUAAUAGGGACCUUCCAUUCUUAGGAAAUACUUUCUAAAACGAGAAUCACGUUGGCAUCAGUGUGUUAAGUGAGUUCUCAGGUAGUUUUCUGGGCUAUUAGUGAGUGUGCAUAAGACAAAUUAUAAAGCAAAAAUGUGCUUCAUCACUUACAAUCAUUAACUACAUCUUUAAUGGUAAAUAAAGUCAAUGUGUGGUAAAAAUGGGAAUCUGUGAUGGUUAACUUUAAUUAUCACCCAGACACAAUCUAGAAUGACUAGGAAGACAGUCUCCAUGAGAAAUGGUCUUGAUUAAGCUGGUUAGUGGGCAUGCCUGUCUGGGAUUGUCUCAGUUGGGUUGACGUGGGAAGAACCAUCCAGGCUGUAGGUGGCACUAUACUAUGGGCUGGACCCGGACUAAAUAAAACAGAGCAAAGGGAAACAUGCAUGCCAGCAUGCAUUCAGUUUGCCUCUGUUCGUGGUUGUGGAUGUUUCUAGUUGCUUUAAGCUCCUGCUGCCUUGACUGCAGUGAUGAGCUAUAAUCUCCAAGUGUGAGCCGAAUAAAGUUUUCUCUCUCACAAUUGCUGUCAGGUUAUCUUAUCACAAGAGGAAAUGGAAGUAGGAUGGGCUCUAAGAAUGACUUCGGCAUAUCAUUACAGAAUCCUCAAAACACAAGGCUGGGCACUGGGUGAGUGUCAGAAACGACCAAAGAAGUUACAAGACGUCAUCUUCACCAACACGAAGAUUAUCCGCAUGUUCAAAGACACUUCACUAUUUUUGUGUUGUGACAAUUCUAUAACCAAA